UACCCUUUACAUGUACGUGAUAAAACUACUUAACUGUCGUCUUGUUUUAUGAGAAAUUGGAGUUCAGAUAAAAAGCAAAAGUAAACAGGAGAGACUGUAAGAUCCUUUAACGUCUCCCCCAGUCUGCUUGGAUUAAGAUAUGUGUCCAAUCAAUGACGCCCCGUCUCAGUGGCUGGUGAGAGCAGAUACCCUACUGUCAUGCUCAAUGUGGGUCAGUCGGGAGACAGCUCACUGAACCAGCUCAGAGAGGCAGACUGGUGGAGAGUCCGACCACUCACCGCAUUAUCAUUUCCCACACAGUUCCAUAAUCCCUGAGGCAGAAGAAGAAAGUCAUGUGACAAUAAGCUGUCAAUACAGAAUCCUUUGACACACAGUGCAGAUCCAGAAGUAACCUCAUUCAUGUGUUGGUUUGGAAGCUGGAGGCAUACAAAUGAAGUUGAAGUCUAAAAAGCAUGUGAUGAGGCCCUAAACUUCUCUGUGAGUGUUGAAGACUAAGCCUUGGUAAGGAUGACUUACCCCCAUUUCAACCAUGGAUUCUGUUGCAUGACCUGAAAGUAGAGCCCACAGUUCGUGACAAG